GACAGAAUCUGUAAAAAGGCAGUCAGUCAGCUGUUGUACUUCAGCGCGUGAACGUAUAUGUAUGCAAAAUGUCAGUCAACUAUUAUUAAAUAAAUGAACAUUACAUAACUGAAAACCACCAAACAAUUAACCGUAGACCGUGCUAUGUCUCGAUCAGUGUAAAAAGAAAAGAAAGAGUAUCCGGAAGAAAGUGAAGUGAAGUGAUUAUCCAUAACAACAAAAUCUUACAAAAAAAAGAAAGAACCCUCAACGAACAGCCGGUUAACCAGAAAAUCUCUGCGAUAACCGGGCUAAUUUUCGGAUAAACCGAGACAUUCAGGAUGAGAAUUGACGGAGAAAACGGAGCGCCUCUGUCCCCCGGUUCCUCGGCAGCAUCCAACUCAUCCGCAGGUACGUGUUGUGGGACUCCAAAAAAGUAUGUAUAAGAUCAGUAACUUGUUAUUGAUUUUCUGACCCAUUAUUCAAGCCGAGUAGGCCUACGGACGACAUGUAAUUAAGACGGAAGUAUAUAUUUUCUUGAUGCC